GGAAGGAAGCCAUCUAUCUCAGUGGCUAAAGAGUUGUUUCCUGAAGGUGAUGUGCAGGAGGACAUAGUGAUUUAGGGUAUUUUUGACUAGGAGGAUAACUUUUCCCCAAACCAAAUAUUCAUGCAUUUCCAAAUAGAGAUGUAGUUAAAAGGGUGUGAUAUAAAUGUGAGAGCAUUUCCUUUGACAAAAAUAAACUACUGCUGAGAGACAGUUGGUUUAGGUAAACUUAAUCUGAGACUGCAGAAUUCUGGGGAGUAACUGACAAGGUAAAGAAAGCUCCAGACCUGGGCAACAUUCCUACCCCAACAGUCAAACCUAGAGUAAAGGAAUAUUGGAAGUUGAACCCAUGAUGUCUUAGAGGUUUACAAAUGGAUUGUACUCAGUCACAUCUGAGCACCAUGGCAGACCACCCACCUGCAGGAUCAGUACACCUGCCUUAAAAAACCAACUGCAAUGAAAUACUUUUGAAUGGAGAAGCAUCUGGAAAUUGAGGAUAUCAGAGAAACUGCUUGCUGGUGCAGAGAGGAGACCAAUUACGCCUGAGGAAACAGAACCCGCAAAUAACCAAAUGACUGCUCUGUGGGAACCCCAGGCUAACCACAAUUUUCAUGAGGAAGCUAGGAUUUCCUUCAGCUUUUAAAAGACUGGACUGAAGAAGACAAGGAUAUCAGUAGAAACUCUCGUCAGUGGUAACCAUUAUGAUGAAACCUGAAAUUGUGCAUUGUGGAAAAUAAAUUAUAGAUAACUAGCUAACCUGACCACAAGAUGACACCCAUGUUAUCUGCUGGAGAUAGCCUGAUCAAAAACACUACUGUUGUGGAGAUGAUUCUUAUCUCCUAUAAUACCUGUACCUUUCCUCUGUCCAACCAUUAAAGGAAGCAGUUGCCUAAGGAUGUAUUAUAUGCAGGUCCAGAUGCUAAAGAAUACACUGCUGAGUUGGAGGUGGGAUUCAAUACUCAAGAAUUCUUGGUGUUCUCAGGGACACUUCCCUGCCCCCUGCUUACUUGUGUGCACUGAGCAUCUUCGGCCCCCAACAUGAUACCCACGUGGAAAAGGAUGACAUCGAGCAAAGAGCAUAUGUGGAAGCUUGUUCUCCCCACAACACACCCUCAGCUGCUUUUGACUCCAAAGUUUAAAGAGAGAAGACUUGCUUCCAAUGGCUGGCGCCACCCUCCGCAUCCACAUCCCAGAUUCAUAGAGAGGUGCACAGGAAGGAGGAAAGCAGGUGGCUUUCUAGGGGAACAAGAUGACACAGGCAUAGGAAAUUAAAUGGUAGUGAAUGAGCAAUGUUAAAACCUAGAAGAAGCAGUGGUAGAGAAGCAGAGAGGAGCUCAAGUGCUAAACCAGCGGCCCAGGAGAUGCACACCUUGCUGGACAAUUAGUAAGACCUUCCUAGGGGGGAAAUCUAAGUCCAUCUAGAAAUCUGAUUUCAGCCCAGACUGUGACUUCUGCCACUGAUGGUAAUGGUCCCUGUUCAGACAUUUCUGGUAAAGGAGAGACACUGGCUUCCUUAUGGACAUUCACAUAUGCAGGAUAAAUGUGGAAUUCCUGACCAAUAGAUAUUUAUAGCUGCUCAAGGGUCAAGAAUGGGAAUCUAACCACCCAACCUAAGAUUCUCAUCUAUAAAGAGGCCACCCCACCUUACCAGCUGAGGUCACCAUCUUGAACUCAUAAAGGUUCAGAAGAGAACACAAGCCCUGUUUUCGGGUCAAGAGCUUUGGAAUCAGUCACACUUGAAUAAAAAUUCAAAUGCUUUUACUAGUUAUUAGACCUCGUGUGAUUGUCUUACUUCCCCAGAUAUAAGAAAUUGUUGUAAAACAUACCACACAUGUACCAAAAAUGCUUGGCAUCAUGUACUGUAUAUAGUAUAUUUCCAAACUGGUAGUUUUGUUAUUUGUCC
ensembl:lncRNA